UGUGAAAUGUAGUCUGAAGCUUGAUGCAUAUAGUUUCUCAUAUAUUUAAUAAAACUUUGCACUUGUAUGCACCAGACCUGUGGGUCAGUUGGUUCAGUUUCAUAGUUGUGUAUCUGCCCAUAGUAUUUUUAUUGCUGACAUCAGAUUUCAUAUGUUAUGAGGUACACAACACUGAUUACUGAUUAGAUUUAGAUACAAGCAGAUCAAUAUAGUUGUAUGAAUCAAGCUCUUGUGAGUAGGUGACAUUUGUGAGCAACUAUUCUGCACAUUUUUUAGAUAGAAAUAGUAACUCGAGCAUUGCUGCCCUGUUGCAGGCUUUCAACUCACUAUAUCAUGUUGAUCUUGUUGUCUUUAUCGAUCAUUGAGAAGAAAGCAAGAAAGGUGCUCUGACAUUAGAACUGUUUUUCUUUGUCCGAAGACGUCGUGUUCAGUUGCUGGGUGCCUUUCAGUUCAUUGGUUUUGGCACUCGAGGACUACAUAGAUUUUCUGAAGAAGCAAUCUGCAAAUUAGUUGAAGAGGUAAAGGAAUCAAAGCAAGAAGACUUGUACUCGAUUGGAAAUUGUGUUUCUGCGCUAGAGAUAAUUGAAGAGCUAUCUGUUUCAGCAAAAGCAAAGGCGCUGCGGCUUUUCAAAUGCCCAAUGAAUAGAGAGAUAUUCAUCAAUACCAAGAACCCAAGCCUUAGGCUUUUCUGGUUGAAGGAGGAGAUUACUGCAAUGGAGAGAACAUAAGUUCAGUCAACAUCAAGAUGCAGUACCUGAUGUCGAUGAGGAUGCGGAGUGGAGAAACGACUUGAGUAGGGCUGAUCGGCGCCUUGCAGUUCUUCUAAUUCGAAAGUAUCUCUUGCCGUGGACUUGGCAAGUGAUAAAUCAUUUUUUUGCUAUCGUGAACAAAUUUGAAUGAUGAUGGCACAUGAAAACGGUUUCGACCAACGCUCGAUCUGAAUGAGAUGUGGACCGACCGUAUCUGAACCCUUGUGAAUUGAUGGCUAUUGGUCGUAAUAAUUCCUAAAAAUCUAGUUUACAUAAAUUCUGAGAUUUUAUGUGUUUUUUUUAGAAUUAUUCGUGGAAUUCUUAUCUAUGGUCCAUUGUUAUCUGUAGA